rnacentral:rRNA from 1 species
CAUGGGGAUAGGAUGCUCAGCGCCGACCUCCAACCCUUUGUUGUUAAACUACCUUGUUGCUUUGGCGGGACCGCUCGGUCUCGAGCCGCUGGGGAUUCGUCCCAGGCGAGCGCCCGCCAGAGUUAAACCAAACUCUUGUUAUUUAACCGGUCGUCUGAGUUAAAAUUUUGAAUAAAUCAAAACUUUCAACAACGGAUCUCUUGGUUCUCGCAUCGAUGAAGAACGCAGCGAAAUGCGAUAAGUAAUGUGAAUUGCAGAAUUCAGUGAAUCAUCGAAUCUUUGAACGCACAUUGCGCCCCUUGGUAUUCCGAGGGGCAUGCCUGUUCGAGCGUCAUUACACCACUCAAGCUAUGCUUGGUAUUGGGCGUCGUCCUUAGUUGGGCGCGCCUUAAAGACCUCGGCGAGGCCACUCCGGCUUUAGGCGUAGUAGAAUUUAUUCGAACGUCUGUCAAAGGAGAGGAACUCUGCCGACUGAAACCUUUAUUUUUCUAGGUUGACCUCGGAUCAGGUAGGGAUACCCGCUGAACUUAAGCAUAUCAUAGGCGGAGGAAACUAAGAGAAGGGUGCUCGCGACAACCCCACCUUUUUGAAACACCUGUGGUGGGGACAUCUUUACCGCGUUUAUAGGGGGAA